rnacentral:rRNA from 1 species
UACGUAGGGGGCUAGCGUUGUCCGGAAUCAUUGGGCGUAAAGAGCGUGUAGGCGGCCCGGUAAGUCCGCUGUAAAAGUCAAAGGCUCAACCUUUGAAUGUCAGUGGAUACUGCCGGGCUAGAGUCCGGAAGAGGCGAGUGGAACUCCUGGUGUAGCGGUGGAAUGCGCAGAUAUCAGGAGGAACACCAACGGCGAAGGCAGCUCGCUAGGACGGUACUGACGCUGAGACGCGAAAGCGUGGGGAGCGAACAGG